rnacentral:rRNA from 1 species
UACAGAGGGGGCAGGCGUUGUUCGGAAUUACUGGGCGUAAAGAGCGCGCAGGCGGUCGUUCAAGUCGCGUGUGAAAGCCCCCGGCUCAACUGGGGAGGGUCACGCGAUACUGAUCGACUCGAAGGCAGGAGAGGGUAGUGGAAUUCCCGGUGUAGUGGUGAAAUGCGUAGAUAUCGGGAGGAACACCAGUGGCGAAGGCGACUACCUGGCCUGUUCUUGACGCUGAGGCGCGAAAGCUAGGGGAGCAAACGGG